UACGGGGGGGGGCAAGCGUUGUUCGGAAUUACUGGGCGUAAAGGGCGCGUAGGCGGCCUGCUAAGUCGGACGUGAAAUCCCUCGGCUCAACCGGGGAACUGCGUCCGAUACUGGCGAGGCUUGAAUCCGGGAGAGGGAUGCAGAAUUCCAGGUGUAGCGGUGAAAUGCGUAGAUAUCUGGAGGAACACCGGUGGCGAAGGCGGCAUCCUGGACCAACACUGACGCUGAGACGCGAAAGCGUGGGGAGCAAACAGGG
rnacentral:rRNA from 1 species